UACGUUUGGGGCUAGCGAUGUUCAGAAUUACUGGGCGUAAAGCGCACGUACGCGGAUUAGUAAGUCAGGGGUGAAAUCCCGGGGCUCAACCUCGGAACUGCCUUUGAUACUGCUGAUCUCGAGUCCGGAAGAGGUGAGUGGAAUUCCUAGUGUAGAGGUGAAAUUCGUAGAUAUUAGGAAGAACACCAGUGGCGAAGGCGGCUCACUGGUCCGGUACUGACGAUGAGGUGCGAAAGCGUGGGGAGCAAACAGG
rnacentral:rRNA from 1 species